CUCCGAGUUGCCCCACCCUAACGGAGAAGGUCCUCCCCCGAACCCUGGAUAGUGGAUGCUCUUGUUCCCAUUUUACAGACGAAGAAAGUGGUCAAGAAUCGAAAAUGGAGAGGAUGUCCAUCAACUGGGAGACCGGAUGAAGAAAUUGUGGCCUGUGGCUGUGUAGUGUGCUAGGAGAAACGGAGGGGGCAGUUUCAGAAGAAUCCGGAGGAAGAGCCAGAACACUCUACAAAGAAACAGCAAUAGUGUACAAGGGUCGACUGUGAAUGAUUUAGCCAUUCUGGGAAAUAGCGAGAUUCAAGGCAGUCCUGAACAGCUUAUGACCGAAAAUGCUCUCCAUCUGCGGAGAAACGACUGAUGGAAUCCCAUGCGGCUACAGCAUUCUCUUGUUGACUUUAUUUUUCUUGAUGACUUUUGGGGGUUUUCUUUCACAGCGUGACUAAUAAGAAGUCAUCUUCUGCAUGACUACACAAGUAUAACCUUUAUCACACUGCUUACCUUCUCAGUGAGGGGGAGAAGAAAAUUUGGAACUCGCAAUGACAAAAAGCAAAGGUUAAACAUUGUUUUUACAUAUGAAGAAAUACACAUUUUAAAUAAAUAACUCCCAAAUCA